rnacentral:lncRNA from 1 species
GGGUCAGGAGAAAGGGUGUGGUUGAGCUAGUUACAGGGUGCUUGAAGGCAUUCAAUAACCGGUGACGUCAAGAGUAUAGAUCUUAGCUUACACGAACAGUUGCGGUCAUUUGAUACCUAAGUUGUGUACUCUGUUCUGCAAGCCAGUCUAGCACUCUAUAGGCAGGACUCUCACAUGAGCAGUACAAAGACGUUCUAAGAACUAAAGGAAGAACUACUUAUUCUCUUCAAAAGCUGUCACUAAAUAUGAAGGUGUCCAAAUUUUUGUUGGUUUAGGAUUUAAUUUGCUAAUAUAAGUUCAUCCUUUGCCUCAGAAAUGAGAACACUCCUAGCUUGCUGCAGGUCUGACAAAUAAAGCUGAAUAUAGGCCUCUCAUGUUCAACUGACAUUGUCCGACUAGUUGCUGAUGCCAUCAACAUAGAAGGAAUGCGUGAAUUUCCUAUAGAGGAAUGAACAUGCGGCUGUAGCCCUCUUUGGUAGCUAAUGUCAUGAUUGCAGCCUUCUUCAUUCUUCCAUUUGUUGAGCCAACUCUUCCUAAUGUCUCAGAAAUCUGUCUCUUUUUGUGCUUCUGCUUUGAAUGUCUUUGAUUCUACAUUUCCCUUUCUUCAUGUCCUAGGGUGAUCACAUAUUUUCUGUUACCCAAUUCAUGGUCUCGCCGUUUUUUGUUUUUGGGUUUGAGGGCUGUGGAAUGAAAAAGAACAAGAAUAAAUCGUUUACAUCAUCAAACUCAUCACAUUAUCAAUUUUGGGCACUUAAUAUGAUAUUAUGUGAACACAUUCCCCUCUUAUAACAAGCACAAAUAAGCUAUAGAAGCUGUUCUUAAACAUGAACAUGAAUUCUGGCCAAGUAUUCCACAUCCCCGUCUUCCCUUGAAAUGAGCUUUGAGACACAUGCCCUUAUAACAUUGUUCCUUGUUUGGCUUGACUGAAGUUUGACUGCAGUAUGGCAUACCUAUGUGGUUGCUAUCUUGCUAUUAUAUAAUACACCUCA